rnacentral:rRNA from 1 species
UACGUAGGGUGCGAGCGUUAAUCGGAAUUACUGGGCGUAAAGCGUGCGCAGGCGGUUCGCCAAGUCAGGUGUGAAAUCCCCGGGCUUAACCUGGGAAUUGCGCUUGAAACUAGCGGGCUUGAGUGUGGCAGAGGGGGGGUGGGAAUUCCACGUGUAGCAGUGAAAUGCGUAGAGAUGUGGAGGAAUACCGGUGGCGAAGGCGGCAUCCUGGACCGACAUUGACGCUGAACGGCGAAAGCUAGGGGAGCAAACGGG